rnacentral:rRNA from 1 species
CUCCAGACUCCUACGGGAGGCAGCAGCGGGGGAUAUUGCACAAUGGGGGGAACCCUGAUGCAGCGACGCCGCGUGGGUGAAGGAGCGUUUCGGCGCGUAAAGCCCUAUCGGCAGGGAAGAAGGAGGACGGUACCUGACUAAGAAGCCCCGGCUAACUACGUGCCAGCAGCCGCGGGAAUACGUAGGUGGCAAGCGUUAUCCGGAUUUAUUGGGUGUAAAGGGCGUGUAGGCGGGAAUGCAAGUCAGAUGUGAAAACUAUGGGCUCAACCCAUAGCCUGCAUUUGAAACUGUAUUUCUUGAGUGCUGGAGAGGCAAUCGGAAUUCCGUGUGUAGCGGUGAAAUGCGUAGAUAUACGGAGGAACACCAGUGGCGAAGGCGGCUUACUGGACGGCAACUGACGCUGAGGCUCGAAAGCGUGGGGAGCAAACAGGAUUAGAUACCCCAGUA